CGAUGAAAACCUUUUUCUUGAGGUGUGGCUCGCACCUGUCUAACUAAACUUGAGCUACCCAUUUAUACACGGUUGCAUCGGUUGGCUGUCAAACAGUGCGGAGCCCUCGUGGCUCGGCGCUGGGAGGCGGUCGACAAUUACCAAAAAACACUGUUGAUACCAUAGGAUUUGAACGUAGAUGAAUCGACUGGUAAUGCGGUCGUCUAAAUCUAAAAA
rnacentral:misc_RNA from 1 species